UUAAGUUAUUAAGGGCGCACGGUGGAUGCCUUGGCACUAGAAGCCGAUGAAGGACGUUACUAACGACGAUAUGCUUUGGGGAGCUGUAAGUAAGCUUUGAUCCAGAGAUUUCCGAAUGGGGAAACCCAGCAUGAGUUAUGUCAUGUUAUCGAUAUGUGAAUACAUAGCAUAUCAGAAGGCACACCCGGAGAACUGAAACAUCUUAGUACCCGGAGGAAGAGAAAGAAAAUUCGAUUCCCUUAGUAGCGGCGAGCGAAACGGGAAGAGCCCAAACCAAAAAGCUUGCUUGUUGGGGUUGUAGGACACUCUAUACGGAGUUACAAAGGACGACAUUAGACGAAUCAUCUGGAAAGAUGAAUCAAAGAAGGUAAUAAUCCUGUAGUCGAAAAUGUUGUCUCUCUUGAGUGGAUCCUGAGUACGACGGAGCACGUGAAAUUCCGUCGGAAUCUGGGAGGACCAUCUCCUAAGGCUAAAUACUCUCUAGUGACCGAUAGUGAACCAGUACCGUGAGGGAAAGGUGAAAAGCACCCCGGAAGGAGAGUGAAAUAGAACCUGAAACCGUGUGCUUACAAGUAGUCAGAGCCCGUUAAUGGGUGAUGGCGUGCCUUUUGUAGAAUGAACCGGCGAGUUACGAUUUGAUGCAAGGUUAAGCAGUAAAUGUGGAGCCGUAGCGAAAGCGAGUCUGAAUAGGGCGUUUAGUAUUUGGUCGUAGACCCGAAACCAGGUGAUCUACCCUUGGUCAGGUUGAAGUUCAGGUAACACUGAAUGGAGGACCGAACCGACUUACGUUGAAAAGUGAGCGGAUGAACUGAGGGUAGCGGAGAAAUUCCAAUCGAACCUGGAGAUAGCUGGUUCUCUCCGAAAUAGCUUUAGGGCUAGCCUCAAGUGAUGAUUAUUGGAGGUAGAGCACUGUUUGGACGAGGGGCCCCUCUCGGGUUACCGAAUUCAGACAAACUCCGAAUGCCAAUUAAUUUAACUUGGGAGUCAGAACAUGGGUGAUAAGGUCCGUGUUCGAAAGGGAAACAGCCCAGACCACCAGCUAAGGUCCCAAAAUAUAUGUUAAGUGGAAAAGGAUGUGGCGUUGCCCAGACAACUAGGAUGUUGGCUUAGAAGCAGCCAUCAUUUAAAGAGUGCGUAAUAGCUCACUAGUCGAGUGACACUGCGCCGAAAAUGUACCGGGGCUAAACAUAUUACCGAAGCUGUGGAUUGUCCUUUGGACAAUGGUAGGAGAGCGUUCUAAGGGCGUUGAAGCAUGAUCGUAAGGACAUGUGGAGCGCUUAGAAGUGAGAAUGCCGGUGUGAGUAGCGAAAGACGGGUGAGAAUCCCGUCCACCGAUUGACUAAGGUUUCCAGAGGAAGGCUCGUCCGCUCUGGGUUAGUCGGGUCCUAAGCUGAGGCCGACAGGCGUAGGCGAUGGAUAACAGGUUGAUAUUCCUGUACCACCUAUAAUCGUUUUAAUCGAUGGGGGGACGCAGUAGGAUAGGCGAAGCGUGCGAUUGGAUUGCACGUCUAAGCAGUAAGGCUGAGUAUUAGGCAAAUCCGGUACUCGUUAAGGCUGAGCUGUGAUGGGGAGAAGACAUUGAGUCUUCGAGUCGUUGAUUUCACACUGCCGAGAAAAGCCUCUAGAUAGAAAAUAGGUGCCCGUACCGCAAACCGACACAGGUAGUCAAGAUGAGAAUUCUAAGGUGAGCGAGCGAACUCUCGUUAAGGAACUCGGCAAAAUGACCCCGUAACUUCGGGAGAAGGGGUGCUCUUUAGGGUUAACGCCCAGAAGAGCCGCAGUGAAUAGGCCCAAGCGACUGUUUAUCAAAAACACAGGUCUCUGCUAAACCGUAAGGUGAUGUAUAGGGGCUGACGCCUGCCCGGUGCUGGAAGGUUAAGAGGAGUGGUUAGCUUCUGCGAAGCUACGAAUCGAAGCCCCAGUAAACGGCGGCCGUAACUAUAACGGUCCUAAGGUAGCGAAAUUCCUUGUCGGGUAAGUUCCGACCCGCACGAAAGGCGUAACGAUUUGGGCACUGUCUCAACGAGAGACUCGGUGAAAUCAUAGUACCUGUGAAGAUGCAGGUUACCCGCGACAGGACGGAAAGACCCCGUGGAGCUUUACUGUAGCCUGAUAUUGAAAUUCGGCACAGCUUGUACAGGAUAGGUAGGAGCCUUUGAAACGUGAGCGCUAGCUUACGUGGAGGCGCUGGUGGGAUACUACCCUAGCUGUGUUGGCUUUCUAACCCGCACCACUUAUCGUGGUGGGAGACAGUGUCAGGCGGGCAGUUUGACUGGGGCGGUCGCCUCCUAAAAGGUAACGGAGGCGCUCAAAGGUUCCCUCAGAAUGGUUGGAAAUCAUUCAUAGAGUGUAAAGGCAUAAGGGAGCUUGACUGCGAGACCUACAAGUCGAGCAGGGUCGAAAGACGGACUUAGUGAUCCGGUGGUUCCGCAUGGAAGGGCCAUCGCUCAACGGAUAAAAGCUACCCCGGGGAUAACAGGCUUAUCUCCCCCAAGAGUUCACAUCGACGGGGAGGUUUGGCACCUCGAUGUCGGCUCAUCGCAUCCUGGGGCUGUAGUCGGUCCCAAGGGUUGGGCUGUUCGCCCAUUAAAGCGGUACGCGAGCUGGGUUCAGAACGUCGUGAGACAGUUCGGUCCCUAUCCGUCGUGGGCGUAGGAAAUUUGAGAGGAGCUGUCCUUAGUACGAGAGGACCGGGAUGGACAUACCUCUGGUGUACCAGUUGUCGUGCCAACGGCAUAGCUGGGUAGCUAUGUGUGGACGGGAUAAGUGCUGAAAGCAUCUAAGCAUGAAGCCCCCCUCAAGAUGAGAUUUCCCAACUUCGGUUAUAAGAUCCCUCAAAGAUGAUGAGGUUAAUAGGUUCGAGGUGGAAGCAUGGUGACAUGUGGAGCUGACGAAUACUAAUCGAUCGAAGACUUAAUCAA
rnacentral:rRNA from 550 species